rnacentral:rRNA from 1 species
AGAGUUUGAUCAUGGCUCAGAUUGAACGCUGGCGGUAUGCUUAACACAUGCAAGUCGAACGGUAACAGUCCCUCACCUAGAAAUUUCUUAAAAAGAGAUUUGUAGGUGAGGGAGCUGACGAGUGGCGGACGGGUGCGUAAUGUAUAGGAAUCUGCCUAGUAGUGGGGGACAACUCGGAGAAAUUCGAGCUAAUACCGCAUAAGCCCUACGGGGGAAAACGGGGGAUCUUUGGACCUCGUGCUAUUAGAUGAGCCUAUAUUAGAUUAGCUUGUUGGUGAGGUAAUGGCUCACCAAGGCGACGAUCUAUAGCUGGUCUGAGAGGAUGAUCAGCCACACUGGGACUGAGACACGGCCCAGACUCCUACGGGAGGCAGCAGUGGGGAAUAUUGGACAAUGGGCGAAAGCCUGAUCCAGCAAUACCGCGUGUGUGAAGAAGGCCUGAGGGUUGUAAAGCACUUUCAAUUGGGAGGAAUACCUAAUAGUUAAUAGCUAUUAGAUUGAC